CUCUUCAUGAAGUGGCAAGAGGGGUAUUUAAACAGUUGUUUGCAAUUUGUAGUCUGUAACAGUUCAAUAAUUUUGGCUCUUGAGCUGAUUAGCUGCAUAGAGUUAGCAUAGCGGCAUUAAAAAUAGAGUUGUAUACAGUUAAGCUAUGGUAAGCUAAACAAGCUAAUCGCUUAGCUCCCUAAUCCACUGCAAUAAACAAAUCUACUGCAUAGUUUCCGCUUACUGAGCAGAUCCAUGUGAUUUGUUUGGUUAAAUAAAUAGUUUGUCAUUCAAGUUUUGACCCAUUUUUAAUUGUAAUUUAAAACUGCAGUGCAUUUAGUUGAAAUUGUAAUUUUAGCGUGCUCCCUUUGUACAGUUUGUGCCCCUGUCAAAAACAACAACAACAAAAAAAAACAAAUGUAGACACGGCCCUGAUUCCCGGAAAGGCGGCAUUCCUGUCAUGCAGCUCCUGUAUAAAAGCACCAGACCUAAUGACCCCUCCCUAAUUGCACAGUGUCAAUAUUGUUGCAUUUAGAUUCCCACAGCUCUCAUAUAAUAUGCACAGGGAGGAGAUGGCUCAUCAGAACUCAAUACCUCGAUGCUUAGCAAGGUGGCUGUGGCCCACCAGCACCGAUAUCACAUUGCACUGUGUCAACCUGCUUCAGGUUUCAUAGUCGUUUGUGAUUUUCACUUUUUGUUGUUAUUUUGUUGAUUUUCUGUGAUGGAGGCAGCAGCUAGAAGAACAAAAUACUCUGAAUGUAGUUAUGUGGGACACGUUUAGCACAUUUCUGAAACACAAAUUUACAUUUUUCAUUGCAGGGGUUAAUUAAAUAGUGUUUUCUUAAACCAAAUUAACAUUUUUGUGACUGUAAGUAAAGAUAAAACUCCAUGUUUGCCUUAGCGCUGCUUGUACUAUCUACCAGUCUGUCUGUAUUCUUACAGAAAUAAGAACCUAUCUGCUGUAGAUAAGACACUGGCUACACAUAACUUGUUGACAGAACCCAUCUUUUAAAAUAAUCCUUUUUCUGUAGCGUUUCAGCUCCAUGCGAUAUGCCAUCCUACUAAUUGGUCCUGAUUACGAGAUUCUUUUGCAAUGAUCAAGAAAUGACUGAGUUCUUUCCGUUUGAGUGGUUAAAAAUCAGUCUGGGCUAUAAGAAAAACAAUAAGGCAACACAUUGACCCAGUGUCUGACAUUGGACAUUGACGUUAGCACCACUGUAUUGACAGACAAUGGGCAGACAAUUGAUGGAGAGCCUCAAACUUUAUUAACAUCUCCUACAGGGCAGCGGACAUUUUUUUUACACUCAAAGACAGAUCCGUCAUGAAGACAAAAAAAAACUUCUCUAAGCUCUGCACUCAAAUUAAUCCUAUUCCAUUUCUUUUGGUACAGCAGUUCAGCAUUUGAGCUUAUUUUCAUACAAGUAUAUUUUUUAUAUAUAUUUUUUAGUACUUUUGCUUACAAAUUUAACUGUCAAAGCUGAUUUAAAUCUCUAUAGUUACAUAAGUGCGUGUUCAGGACCCUCUCUAUCUUAAGGUCAUUAGAAACAUUAGUGUGUUUUGUGUCCAAAAGAAAUAAAACCAAAGGAUUAAAUGUGAAAGCUUAUAAAAUCCAGCUGGCAGCGCAGUUUUAUUCUCCCAAAUGCGUUUAUUGUGGUAAAGGGAGAUAUUUUAAGUAAAGGAACGUGAGACAUGCCGGAUCAGUGAUUUGCAAGGAUUUGUGAGAGAUUAAGGAAAAGUUUCCUUUAAGAUUGAAUAUGUGUAAUCUUUACAGCAGAUUUAGGGAUUAGGAAGACUUCUGCAACUAAAAAAAAAAA